rnacentral:lncRNA from 1 species
CCUUCAGUGGGUGGCUUAAGUUGGUGGCAUUUGGUUGCCUUUCCUGGGGAGAGGCGGCAGGUGCUCAGCUCUGCAGACGUGGGGGCAAGAGAAGGCCCAAGCUGCCUCGAGAAGAGCAGAGGUGCCCCAUGGGGACCAUGAUGACCGGUCGCAUGUGCCAAAGCCAGCCCCCGGCAGGGCCAGCGCAGGGUUUCUGCGGGGCCGUCCUGUGGCUCUGAUAUCUAUGAGUGGGUGGCCAGCAAAGGCACAGGCACCAGCAGAAAGGAGCAGAGAUGCCCAGAACAUGCUGUCCCCCAAUGCCAGCCCCAAGCGAGGCCAGCUUAGGGUGCGGUGGGCAGAGCCAUCCUGCAGCUCUGAGAUCCACGAAGUGGAGGUGGGAGUAGCGCCAGGCUCCACGGCGUUGGAGCUCUCACAACUUGAGCUCAAUUUUAUUCCGGAGCCAUGACCUGCAGCACAUUGGUGACCAGAAGACGCCCAAAGGGUUUCCCAGAGGAAGAGAGAGAAUUUGGACAAAUGAAUGAGGAACAACGCUCUCCUGAGGGUUUUCUUUAAGGGGCGAGGAUCACUGCCGCUAGCUCCUUUGAAAGCAAAGUUAAGAGGCAGCGCAGGAAGGCACAGCAGGAAGGCUCAUGGUUAGACUACAGAGAAGGAAGCAGCCACUGCUGGGGACCUACCCUGUGCUGGUCACUGACAAGCUGUCUCAUUAAACCUUCCCGGACCCUCAACCCCUCCUAGUAUCUUAUCCUCAUUUUACAGAUGAGAAGACUGCGGCCAAGAGAGAAAUCACAUUCUCCUCUCAUUGUGCUACACAGCUUGUAAGCACCAAGACAAGGAAUUCUAUGAUAAAGCAAAAAGAAAAGAAAAGAAAAAAUCCUCUUCUACUUUCUUCUCGGGCCUCCCAGGAGCUGAAUCCAGAAGGGCAAGAACAAAGUAGUAAAGCAGGAAAGGGCAUUCAGAAGAGAACAGCAUGAGCAAAGGCUGCAAGGCCAGAGCACUUGGAAACUGCAAGUCCCUCAGUGUAAAGAUGAGUCUGUAGAGGAGGUUGACACAAGCUUGUGAAAGACCCAGUAUGCCAGGCUAAGGGGGUGGGAACAGUGAGGGACACUGAGGGUUUUAUGGCUUAAAUUUUGACAAGUGUAUCUACAAUAUAGACAACUAAUGUAACACUCCUUUUUUUUUUUUUUUUUUUUUUUUUGAGACGGAGUCUCACUCUUUCGCCCAGGCUAGAGUUCAGUGGUGAGAUCUUGGCUCACUGCCACCUGAGCUUCCUGGGUUCAGGUGAUUCUCCUGCCUUAGCCUCCUGAGUAGCUGGGACUACAGACUGAUCCCACCACAUCUGGCUAAUUUUUUGUAUUUUUGGUAGAGACAGGGUUUCGCCAUGUUGGCCAGGCUGGUCUUGAACUCCUCAGCUCAAGUGAUCCACCUGCCUCAGCCUCCCAAAGUUCUGGGAUUACAGGGAACACUUUUUUUUAAAUUUUUUUUUUUGAGACAGAGUCUUGCUUUAUCAUCCAGGUUGGAGUGAAGUGGCUCAGUCAUAGCUCACUGCAGCCUUGACCUCCCGUACUCAAGCAAUCCUUCUGCCUCAGCCUCCUGAGUUGCUGUUAAUUUUUUUUUUUUUUUUGUAGAGACAGGGUCUCACUAUGCUGCCCAGGCUAGUCUCAAAUUUCAAGAGACCAAGGCGGGAGGAUGGCUGGGCUC